rnacentral:misc_RNA from 1 species
CUCCAGCCCCGCGUUUGGCGAUAGCUGUCUCAGAAAGCUGCGCGAGGUGUUCGUGCCAGGCGGGCGCUCUCCCAGCCAAGAAACGGUGGCGAGACAGUUGUUCUUGUGUGCGUGUGUGGCCGCAGCCCGAAGCCGAAGUCGCGGUGUGAGCGGGCAAUCGAGCACUUAUUUGGUACGGUGGCUCGACGCAGUCUCGAAUGGCACGCACUCGCAGCGAGUUUGCGUGUCGGCAGUCAGAAAGCUGGCAUAGCUUUGUUGGUUAGUCCUGGCCGGCGUAGCAAGAGCUUGUCGGAAGGCGUCCAGUGGUUACCAUGUAUAACCAGGCAGCCGGUGGAGGCGCGCUGAGCGAUGACUCCCCGGGCCUGUGUGUACGGGAAAAGUCCGAUUGGGUGCGACAGAUAUCUGGUUGAUCCUGCCAGUAGUCAUAUGCUUGUCUCAAAGAUUAAGCCAUGCAUGUCUAAGUUCACACUGUCCCACGGUGAAACCGCGAAUGGCUCAUUAAAUCAGUCGAGGUUCCUUAGAUGACACGAUCCUACUUGGAUAACUGUGGCAAUUCUAGAGCUAAUACAUGCUUACCAAGCUCCGACCCUCGCGGAAAGAGCGCUUUUAUUAGUUCAAAACCAAUCGUCGUUGCCCUUCGCGGGGCGCGGCGUUCCCAUUGGUGACUCUGGAUAACUUUGUGCUGAUCGCAUGGCCCUACGUGCCGGCGACGCAUCUUUCAAAUGUCUGCCCUAUCAAAUGUCGAUGGUACGUGACAUGCCUACCAUGUUUGUAACGGGUAACGGGGAAUCAGGGUUCGAUUCCAAAAGGG